rnacentral:rRNA from 1 species
UACAUGGGGUGCAAACGUUGCUCGGAAUUAUUGGGCGUAAAGAGCGUGUAGGCGGUCCGGUAAGUCGGCUGUGAAAGUCCAGGGCUCAACCCUGGGAUGCCGGUCGAUACUGCCGGACUAGAGUUCGGAAGAGGCGAGUGGAAUUCCCGGUGUAGCGGUGAAAUGCGCAGAUAUCGGGAGGAACACCUAUGGCGAAGGCAGCUCGCUGGGACGUUACUGACGCUGGAGGAGCGAAAGCGUGGGGAGCGAACAGG